AGCGAACGCUGGCGGCAGGCCUAACACAUGCAAGUCGAACGAAGUCUUCGGACUUAGUGGCGGACGGGUGAGUAACACGUGGGAACGUGCCUUUAGGUUCGGAAUAACUCAGGGAAACUUGUGCUAAUACCGAAUGUGCCCUUCGGGGGAAAGAUUUAUCGCCUUUAGAGCGGCCCGCGUCUGAUUAGCUAGUUGGUGAGGUAAAGGGUCACCAAGGCGACGAUCAGUAGCUGGUCUGAGAGGAUGAUCAGCCACAUUGGGACUGAGACACGGCCCAAACUCCUACGGGAGGCAGCAGUGGGGAAUCUUGCGCAAUGGGCGAAAGCCUGACGCAGCCAUGCCGCGUGAAUGAUGAAGGUCUUAGGAUUGUAAAAUUCUUUCACCGGGGACGAUAAUGACGGUACCCGGAGAAGAAGCCCCGGCUAACUUCGUGCCAGCCGCCGCGGUAA
rnacentral:rRNA from 1 species